rnacentral:misc_RNA from 1 species
UUAUCUUUAGAUUCUGAAUUGAAUGUUGUUAUUUUAAGGUCUUGGAUUAGAUAUUGGUUAUUUAAAGGGUUUGAUUGUGUGUCGAACUUUUUUCGCACUACACGCUGCGUCAAGUGGUACUAUAGCAGGGAUUUUUGCUCUUGUUAUUAUGUCCAAUACUAGUGGUAGUGGUAGCAACCAACCUUGUGAUGAUGACCAGGAGUUGCAAGCUCUUUGGAGGAUCAUCAAUGAAUGAACAUCUACUAGCAAUAUUGAGAAGCAAUUGUUGGAGAUUUGAAAGCUAAUGCUUACUUUUUUUGGCGUUGCUGACCAUGAGGAUGGGAACAAUGAAUUGAAUCAAGCCGGAGGAGAUAGCCAUGGUAGAUUCAACGAUUAACCUGUCCUUUUAAAUUCUAGGAGGGUAAAAGUUGAACAAAGAUAUCAACUUGAAUAAGAAAAACAACCUUAAGUUGAAGACCAUAAGCUUGAAGAAUUUGAACUUGAGCAGACUGAAACUUUGAUUGUAUUGCCUUUCGUUAUGAUUGAUGAUGAUGAGCUUGAAUUGGAAUUUCUUGAUCAAUCUAUCAUAGAGAAGGAAGUUGAAAUUCGUAAGGAAGAGGAAAGAGAGUUGGAGGUAUCAAUUGAACAUGAAGAACAACCAGCUAUGGAGGAAUCAAUGAAGAUUAAAUAUUUAUCUAAUCAUUUAAUUCCUAUUGCUUUCAUUGAUUUUAUUUAUCAAGAUGUAACAAUGGAUGCAAAGAACAAAAGUUAUUUAACUCAAUUUUAUUCAAGUCAAUCUUGUUGAUUCCGUUCAAGAAGGAGACAUGGUGUAAGCUUCUAUGUAAUCUUCUAGUGGUGUUUUUUAUUCUUCAACACUUUAAAAUUCGAAGUCAAAUUUAUUCGAAAGUGUGAGCGAAUAGCGCAGUGUGCAAAUCAAGAUCACACUUGAAGACUUGUGUUUUCGUAUUUUCACAAAGAUUUCUAUUUUUAAUUGGAUUAUUUAUUUUCCUAG